rnacentral:tmRNA from 1 species
GGGGGCGAUCUGGGUUUCGACGUGGAUUGCGAACCCCAAGGUGCAUGCCGAGGAUGCAGCUAACCUCGCUAAUCGUGCUGUAAAUUUAUAGUUGCCAACGACGACAGCUACGCUCUAGCGGCCUAAAGCCCGCUAGCCUCUGACCGAAACGUGCUUGUGAGGUUCGGAGUCUUUCGAGACAUUCAGGGGUCGACUUAACACAAGCUCGUGCUGAUCUUGUUCGGGAGUGAAGCAUUAAAACCUAACCGGAACCGCCGUUGAUCGCCCUGCCGGUCGGGGGAUAAAACGGUUAAAUUAAAGACCUGGCUAAGCAUGUAGUACCGAGGGCAGAGGAUUUGCGGACGGGGGUUCAAUUCCCCCCGCCUCCACCA